GUGUCUGGUGGGUAGUUUGACUGGGGCGGUCUCCUCCUAAAGAGUAACGGAGGAGCACGAAGGUUGGCUAAUCCUGGUCGGACAUCAGGAGGUUAGUGCAAUGGCAUAAGCCAGCUUGACUGCGAGCGUGACGGCGCGAGCAGGUGCGAAAGCAGGUCAUAGUGAUCCGGUGGUUCUGAAUGGAAGGGCCAUCGCUCAACGGAUAAAAGGUACUCCGGGGAUAACAGGCUGAUACCGCCCAAGAGUUCAUAUCGACGGCGGUGUUUGGCACCUCGAUGUCGGCUCAUCACAUCCUGGGGCUGAAGUAGGUCCCAAGGGUAUGGCUGUUCGCCAUUUAAAGUGGUACGCGAGCUGGGUUUAGAACGUCGUGAGACAGUUCGGUCCCUAUCUGCCGUGGGCGCUGGAGAACUGAGGGGGGCUGCUCCUAGUACGAGAGGACCGGAGUGGACGCAUCACUGGUGUUCGGGUUGUCAUGCCAAUGGCACUGCCCGGUAGCUAAAUGCGGAAGAGAUAAGUGCUGAAAGCAUCUAAGCACGAAACUUGCCCCGAGAUGAGUUCUCCCUGAGACUUAGAGUCUCCUGAAGGAACGUUGAAGACGACGACGUUGAUAGGCCGGGUGUGUAAGCGCAGCGAUGCGUUGAGCUAACCGGUACUAAUGAACCGUGAGGCUUAACCUU
rnacentral:rRNA from 1 species